rnacentral:rRNA from 1 species
UACGUAGGGUGCGAGCGUUGUCCGGAUUUAUUGGGCGUAAAGAGCUCGUAGGCGGCUUGUCGCGUCGUUCGUGAAAACCCACAGCUCAACUGUGGGCUUGCGGUCGAUACGGGCAGGCUGGAGUUCGGUAGGGGAGACUGGAAUUCCUGGUGUAGCGGUGAAAUGCGCAGAUAUCAGGAGGAACACCGGUGGCGAAGGCGGGUCUCUGGGACGGUACUGACGCUGAGACGCGAAAGCGUGGGGAGCGAACAGG